rnacentral:rRNA from 1 species
AUGGGCAUGUGCCCAAGAGGCUUAGGAAGUAGAGGAAAGUGGCUAUGGCUGCGCAUAACCAUUCUUGGAUGCUCAACAUCCACGGAUUGCUUGGCUUGCGUGAGCUCAUCCAGCCUUCACGCGCUGUGUCCCAAGUGCAAUUCAGUGACCAACCUGAUCACCUCCUUUGGCGUUGUACUGAGAGCGGCACCGUGCAAAGCCUCCUUCGGAGGUUCCACCGGAUGCAGAGCUUGGAAGCUUACCUGGCCCUCGUGGGCACCGGCACCACGCGAGGUGAAGGUCUUCUUUCUGCUUGCUGCCCUUGAUAGAUUCUAG